GACGAACGCUGGCGGCGUGCUUAACACAUGCAAGUCGAACGAAGAGCGAUGGAAGCUUGCUUCUAUCAAUCUUAGUGGCGAACGGGUGAGUAACGCGUAAUCAACCUGCCCUUCAGAGGGGGACAACAGUUGGAAACGACUGCUAAUACCGCAUACGAUCUAAUCUCGGCAUCGAGGAUAGAUGAAAGGUGGCCUCUACAUGUAAGCUAUCACUGAAGGAGGGGAUUGCGUCUGAUUAGCUAGUUGGAGGGGUAACGGCCCACCAAGGCGAUGAUCAGUAGCCGGUCUGAGAGGAUGAACGGCCACAUUGGGACUGAGACACGGCCCAGACUCCUACGGGAGGCAGCAGUGGGGAAUCUUCCGCAAUGGACGAAAGUCUGACGGAGCAACGCCGCGUGAGUGAUGACUGCCUUCGGGUUGUAAAGCUCUGUUAAUCGGGACGAAAGGCCUUCUUGCGAAUAGUGAGAAGGAUUGACGGUACCGGAAUAGAAAGCCACGGCUAACUACGUG
rnacentral:rRNA from 1 species